rnacentral:rRNA from 1 species
GACAAACGCUGGCGGCAUGCCUAACACAUGCAAGUCGAACGGACAGAACAGGGAAGCUUUUCGGAGUGGAACUGGAAAGUUAGUGGCGGAUGGGUGAGUAACGCGUGGACAACCUACCUUGUAAAGGGGAAUAACCUCGAGAAAUCGAAGCUAAUACCCCAUAAUAACCUUGCUUCGCAUGAAGUAAGGAGGAAAGGCGGCCUUAGCGCUGUCGAUACAAGAUGGGUCCGCGUCUGAUUAGCUAGUUGGUGAGGUAAAGGCUCACCAAGGCGACGAUCAGUAGCCGGCCUGAUAGGGUGAACGGCCACAUUGGGACUGAGACACGGCCCAAACUCCUACGGGAGGCAGCAGUGGGGAAUCUUCCGCAAUGGGCGAAAGCCUGACGGAGCAAUGCCGCGUGAGUGAAGAAGGCCUUCGGGUUGUAAAACUCUGUCCUUAUCGAAGAGAGAGUGUUGUAGUAACUGACAAUACUAGGACGGUAGAUGAGGAGGAAGCCCCGGCUAACUAUGUG